GCUACGGUAGUGCAAUUAGUAGCACAAGUGACCGAAAAGCGAGAAGCGCAGGUUCGAUUCCCGCCCAAGGCA